rnacentral:rRNA from 1 species
GACGAACGCUGGCGGCGUGCUUAACACAUGCAAGUCGAGCGGUAAGGCCUUUCGGGGUACACGAGCGGCGAACGGGUGAGUAACACGUGGGUGAUCUGCCCUGCACUUCGGGAUAAGCCUGGGAAACUGGGUCUAAUACCGGAUAUGACCUCCUAUCGCAUGGUGGGUGGUGGAAAGAUUUAUCGGUGCAGGAUGGGCCCGCGGCCUAUCAGCUUGUUGGUGGGGUAAUGGCCUACCAAGGCGACGACGGGUAGCCGACCUGAGAGGGUGACCGGCCACACGGGGACGGAGAGAGGGACCAGGCGCCGGCGGGAUGCAGCAGUGGGGAAUGUUGCACAAUGGGCUAAAGCCUGAUGCAGCGACGCCGCGUGAGGGAUGACGGCCGUCGGGUUGUAAAACGCUUUCAGCAGGGAGGAAGCGAAAGUGACGGUACCUGAAUAAGAAGAACCGGCUAACUACGUG